rnacentral:rRNA from 1 species
UACAGAGGGGGCAAGCGUUAUUCGGAAUUAUUGGGCGUAAAGGGCGCGUAGGCGGCAUGGCAAGUGGAUGGUGAAAUCCCUCGGCUUAACCGAGGAACUGCCGUCCAAACUGCUUCGCUUGAGACCGGGAGAGGUGAGUGGAAUUCCCAGUGUAGCGGUGAAAUGCGUAGAUAUCAGGAGGAACACCUGUGGCGAAAGCGGCGCACUGGACCACAACUGACGCUGAGGCGCGAAAGCUAGGGGAGCAAACAGG